rnacentral:rRNA from 1 species
UACGGGGGGGGUAAGCGUUGUUCGGAAUUACUGGGCGUAAAGGGCUCGUAGGCGGCCAACUAAGUCGGACGUGAAAUCCCUCAGCUUAACUGGGGAACUGCGUCCGAUACUGGAUGGGUUGGAUUUGGGAGAGGGAUGCGGAAUUCCAGGUGUAGCGGUGAAAUGCGUAGAUAUCUGGAGGAACACCGGUGGCGAAGGCGGCAUCCUGGACCAAUAUUGACGCUGAGGAGCGAAAGCCAGGGGAGCAAACGGG